rnacentral:rRNA from 1 species
AGAGUUUGAUCCUGGCUCAGGAUGAACGCUGGCGGUAUGCUUAACACAUGCAAGUCGAACGGAAUACUUCGGUAUUUAGUGGCGGACGGGUGAGUAACGCGUAAGAAUCUGGCUCCAGGUUCGGGACAACAGAUGGAAACGUCUGCUAAUACCGGAUGUGCCGAGAGGUGAAAGCUUUAGUGCCUGGAGAUGAGCUUGCGUCUGAUUAGCUAGUUGGAGUGGUAACGGCACACCAAGGCGACAAUCAGUAACUGGUCUGAGAGGAUGACCAGUCACACUGGGACUGAGACACGGCCCAGACUCCUACGGGAGGCAGCAGUGGGGAAUUUUCCGCAAUGGGCGAAAGCCUGACGGAGCAAUACCGCGUGAGGGACGAAGGUCUGUGGAUUGUAAACCUCUUUUGUCAGGGACGAUAAUGACGGUACCUGACGAAUAGCU